GAUAUGGCUCAGGAUGAACGCUAGCGACAGGCUUAACACAUGCAAGUCGAGGGGCAGCGGGGAGUAGCAAUACUCUGCCGGCGACCGGCGCACGGGUGAGUAACGCGUAUGCAACUUACCUAUCAGAGGAGAAUAGCUCAUCGAAAGAUGAAUUAAUGCUCCAUAAAACAGGGGUCCCGCAUGGGAAUAUUUGUUAAAGAUUCAUCGCUGAUAGAUAGGC
rnacentral:rRNA from 1 species